UACAGAGGGUGCGAGCGUUAAUCGGAAUUACUGGGCGUAAAGCGCGCGUAGGCGGCUUCGCAAGUCGGAUGUGAAAUCCCCGGGCUCAACCUGGGAACUGCAUUCGAGACUGCGUUGCUAGAGUAUGGGAGAGGGAAGUGGAAUUUCCGGUGUAGCGGUGAAAUGCGUAGAUAUCGGAAGGAACAUCAGUGGCGAAAGCGACUUCCUGGACCAAUACUGACGCUCAUGUGCGAAAGCGUGGGGAGCAAACAGG
rnacentral:rRNA from 1 species